GCUUCUCUUGAUAGCGGCGGAGGGUGAGUAAUGCCUAAGAAUCUGCCUGGUAGUGGGGGAUAACGUCCGGAAACGGACGCUAAUACCGCAUACGUCCUACGGGAGAAAGCAGGGGACCUUCGGGCCUUGCGCUAUCAGAUGAGCCUAGGUCGGAUUAACUAGUUGGUGGGGUAAUGGCUCACCAAGGCGACGAUCCGUAACUGGUCUGAGAGGAUGAUCAGUCACACUGGAACUGAGACACGGGCCAGACUCCUACGGGAGGCAGCAGUGGGGAAUAUUGGACAAUGGGCGAAAGCCUGAUCCAUCCAUGCCGCGUGUGUGAAGAAAGUCUUCGGAUUGUAAAGCACUUUAAAUUGGGAGGAAGGGCAGUAAAUUAAUACUUUGCUGUUUUGAC
rnacentral:rRNA from 1 species